GCUCAGUUCAGAGACGAGCUCGACUCACCUGCACGCCUCACCCUUCUAGUCCGUCACCACUGGCAGCAUCGCCGGCCACCAAGCAUAAAAUCCGGCCAGAAGUUUUCGUCCUCACAGUUUCGACCUAAUCGAAGAUGGCGAGGUCGAGUUUUGCUUCUUACCCACUUUCCUUUGCUGCAUUUUCCUCCUCUCCUUCCCUUUCGCCCAAAUAUCCUGAUUCUCCUACUAUUCGAGUCUCCUCUUAUCAUCACGGCUAUGUUUGCUCCGCGAAGAGGCUUGCUGUGAAUCCCGUCAAUGAAAGCAAGCCUUCGGAUCAACUUUUGACGGUUCCGACCUCCUCAGAACGCGAUGUCAGCAUUAGCAUAUGGAAUUGGAGAGGCUAUCGCAUACGUUAUCUGUCUUCUGGAAAAAGUGGCCCUGCACUGAUUUUAAUUCAUGGUUUUGGGGCAAACAGCGACCAUUGGAGGAAAAACAUUUCUUUUCUUUCAAAGACAAAUAGGGUGUACUCAAUUGAUCUUAUUGGUUAUGGUUAUUCGGAAAAACCAAAUCCUCGGGAAUUUGGGGCAAACUCUUUCUACACCUUUGAAACGUGGGCAGCUCAGCUAAAUGAAUUUUGUGCUGAUGUGGUGAAAGAUGAUGCAUUCUUUAUAUGCAACUCUAUCGGAGGGGUGGUCGGCCUUCAGGCAGCCAUUAUGGAGCCUCAGAUUUGUAAAGGAAUCUUUUUACUGAACAUUUCUCUGAGGAGGCUUCAUAUUAAGAAGCAGCCAUGGUAUGGAAGGCCUUUCAUCAAGUCAUUUCAGAGCUUACUGCGAAAUACGGAGAUCGGAAAAGUUUUCUACAAUGCAGUUGCCACAAAAGAAUCAGUGAAGAGUAUUUUGUACCAGUGUUAUCAUGAUAAAUCAGCAGUUACAGAUGAACUAGUCAACAUCAUUCUACAACCUGGGCUUGAUCCAGGAGCAGCAGCUGUAUUUCUCGAGUUCAUCUGCUACUCUGGUGGUCCCUUACCUGAAGAUUUGCUUCCCAAAGUGAAGAUGGUCACAAGUGGUACAGGUGAUCAGUCACCUCAUAGACCUCGUGUUCUGGGGAUCCUUGAAACCACCUACCGCAAUAGGAAGAGGUCGUCUACUCCUGUCGCUGCUUCCACUACUUCUACACAUUCUCUAUUAUCUCCUCCCCCACCCGCUGCUACUACACCUUAUGUGGCACCUCUUUCCCACUGGUUGCUGCUACACCUUCCUUACCCGCUGCUACCGCCCCUUCUAUGGCACCUGCUCCUGUACCUUAUUGUUGCCCCGUCUAAUCUGUUUGCUCCUUCUGCACCUACUCCCUCACAUGCUGCUGCACAACUCUUGAGCCUGAUCUGUUGACUCCUGCCCCCUCAAGGUUACAUUUAUUAUCAAAGGACUCAUAAGUUAUUUUACACUCCAUAUUUUGUUUAUUUUUCAUGCUAUAUCUUUUUUGGUAAUUAAUUUGUUUCUUAAGAAAAUUCAUUCCCUACAAGCUGCUCGUCGCCUGCAUCACAAAUAUUAUCAGGAGCAGGUAUGAUGAGCGCUAUCUGUCAUGGAAGCAGAUAACUAUAGUCACUCUGGAUUUGUGGUUCAGGGAGUUUGAGGUCAUUCACCUGGCUCCCAGAGCACCACCAGCAGAUGCGCUAAAUCUUUGAGAUUCGGGGCAGGCAUUGCCUUGCCGACAUGUUCAUAACAGCCCGUUGGAGGAAUGAGUGGCCUGUUUGGAUUGGUGAGGGGCUUUGGGGUCAGUUGACCGCAACUUGGGCUCUCCUGAUUAUGAAAGGAAGUGGCAGACGAAUUGGGCGACGGAGGGGGGUAGGGGAGUUACGCUCUAUAUUUGCGGAUCGGUCCCCCAUACAGAGCAUUACAGGUGGCUGAUAAUAUUUUUUUAGAUAUUUAAACAUUAAUUCAAUUUUGUAUGAUCAAUUCUUUUAGCGUUGACCAUUUUUUACGGUACACGGGCCAAGGAGUUGAGUCAUGCUCCAUCUGUUGCGGAGCUGCGUGUCUGAACUCAUCGACGCUCGGGGACUGCGCAGUGGGUCUAGGAGCAUUCCCGACGGGUUGAUAGGAGUUCGAGCAUCUCCGGGAGAGGCACUUGGCCUCUCAGACUCAGACUUCAGUGAUAGUCAGUCUACCACUGCACACUCUGAGUACGAGCUUUGGACCUAAGCGACAUGGAGGAAGGUGAGGCUUAUGCCAUUGGAACGAAGGGCCUAGCCUUCGCGACAGAGCUCUCCAGUGGUCCCAUUCUUAUUUCCUCAAGCUCUUCACAGCCAGAUAAGGAGGCUCUUGCUGGGCAGGUAGCUGCAAUGAGCGAAGAGAUCUGCCAGUUGCGCUAGCAGAUGCUAGAAGACCAGCAUAGAGUUGAAGACUCUAUAGCUUGUAUGGUGGAUAUUUUAGCGGAUAGUCGGGGCAAUCAGUCGAUGACAUCCAUGCAGGAGGAGGAGGAGGAGGAGGAUGGAGAUGAUGAGUAGUUUUUUUUAAUGUUUUUUUUUUUAUUAUUUAUAAGUGUUAUGUUGACCAUUUGUUGUGGAAUGUUUUGGAAUAACUUUAUUAUUUUUA